rnacentral:rRNA from 1 species
UACGUAGGGGGCAAGCGUUGUCCGGAUUUAUUGGGCGUAAAGCGCACGCAGGCGGUCAGUCGCGUCUUCACCUACAUCCCCCCGCUUAACGGGGAACCGUGUGAGGAAACGGGCUGACUUGAGGACCAGAGAGGAAGACGGAAUUCCGGGUGGAGCGGUGAAAUGCGUAGAGAUCCGGAGGAACAUCCAUGGCUCACGCAGUCUUCUGGCUGGUGCCUGACGCUCAGGUGCGAAAGCUCGGGGAGCGAACAGG